GCGCCUGGCUCUUGUAGCACGUUUGGUCUGCGAUGGCACUGCAAAGUGCAACGUGUGACUGGUUCGACGCUCGAGCCAGGCAUCAGCAGAGAGAGAGAGAGAAGAGCAAGCAACACCAAACAACAAAAACAAUAAGUCGAUAAAUAUAAAUCAUUUGAGGUAUUCUUAAAUAUCUCUUUUUUG